rnacentral:rRNA from 1 species
AUUGAACGCUGGCGGAAUGCUUUACACAUGCAAGUCGAACGGCAGCAUAGGUGCUUGCACCUGAUGGCGAGUGGCGAACGGGUGAGUAAUACAUCGGAACGUGCCCAGUCGUGGGGGAUAACGUAGCGAAAGUUACGCUAAUACCGCAUACGAUCUAAGGAUGAAAGCGGGGGACCGUAAGGCCUCGCGCGAUUGGAGCGGCCGAUGUCAGAUUAGGUAGUUGGUGAGGUAAAGGCUCACCAAGCCGACGAUCUGUAGCUGGUCUGAGAGGACGACCAGCCACGCUGGGACUGCGACACGGCCCAGACUCCUACGGGAGGCAGCAGUGGGGAAUUUUGGACAAUGGACGCAAGUCUGAUCCAGCCAUUCCGCGUGCAGGACGAAGGCCUUCGGGUUGUAAACUGCUUUUGUACGGAACGAAAAAGCUCUUACUAAUACUAGGAGUCCAUGACGGUACCGUAAGAAUAAGCACCGGCUAACUACGUGCCAGCAGCCGCGGUAA